UACGAAGGGGGCUAGCGUUGCUCGGAAUCACUGGGCGUAAAGGGUGCGUAGGCGGGUUUCUAAGUCAGGGGUGAAAUCCUGGAGCUCAACUCCAGAACUGCCCUUGAUACUGGAAGUCUUGAGUAUGGGAGAGGUGAGUGGAACUGCGAGUGUAGAGGUGAAAUUCGUAGAUAUUCGCAAGAACACCAGUGGCGAAGGCGGCUCACUGGCCCAUAACUGACGCUGAGGCACGAAAGCGUGGGGAGCAAACAGG
rnacentral:rRNA from 2 species